rnacentral:rRNA from 1 species
AAACAAAGAUGGCAACACACAACUACCAUCCGCCAGGAAAUUACGAGCACAUUAUAUUUUUAUGCUUGAAACCCAAGGGACUUGACGGUGCCUUAGACCUACCUAGAGGAGCCUGUCCCACAACCGAUAACCCCCGUUAAACCUAACCACCCCUUGCCACAUCAGUCUAUAUACCGCCGUCGCCAGCUUACCUUGUGAAAGUAGAAUAGUAAGCUAAAUGAGAUUUUUAACCCAGAACGUCAGGUCGAGGUGUAACACACGAGGUGGAGAAAGAUGGGCUACAUUUUCUGAAGCAGAACAACACGAAAGAUGUUAUGAAAAACACAACAAAAGGUGGAUUUAGCAGUAAUAAGAUGAAAAAGAGUGCU